GUUUCUUUGUGUUGGCCAGGCUGGUCUCAAACUCCUGACCUCCAGUGAUCCACCCUCCUUGACCUCCCAAAGUACUGGGAUUACAGGCAUGAGCCUCAGUGCAGCCUCUGCUUGAUAGAAUCUUUUCUCUGUGAAGCAUCAUCAACUCAUACAAAAAUCUUUGAGGCCUCCUUGAGACUAAGGACUAUUAUAUCUUUGGCACCUGAAAGGAGGGUGUUAUGGACUGAAUUGUAUCGCUCUCCCUCCACCACCAAAUUCGUAUGUGGAAGUCCUAACGCCCAGUAUCUCAGAAUGUGAGUGUAUUUGGAGAAAGGUAAUUAAGGUUAAAUGAGGCCACAUGGGGAGGGGGCUUAAUCCAAUAGGACUGGUUUCCUUAAUCGAAGAGGCAGAAGCCUGGACAACAUAGCAAGACCCCAUAUCUACAAAAUUAAAAAAAAAUUAGCCAAGCAUGGUGUUACAUGCCUGUGGUCCCAGCUACUCAGCAGGCUGAAGUGGGAGGAUUGCUUGAACCCACGAGCAAUCCUCCAUAUGUCUGCAUUACUUGGUGUUUACUGCAUGAGCCAUGAUUGUACCACUGCACUCCAGCCUGGGUGAUAGAGCAAGACCUUGUCUUUAUGAAAAAAAGAAGAGGCAGAGUGCAGUGGCUCACACCUGUAAUCCCAGCAUUUUGGGAGGCAGAGGCAGGCCUGAGGUCAGGCGUUUGACACCAGCCUGGCCAACAUAGUGAAACCCUGUCUGUACUAAAAAUACAAAAAUUAGCCAGGUUUGGCAGUGUGUGCCUGUAAUCCCAGCUACUUGGGAGGCUGAGGCAGGAGAAUCACUUGAACCCAGGAGGUGGAGGUUGCAGUAAGCUGAGAUCGCGCCACUGCACUCCAGCCUGGGUGACAGAGCAAGACUCCAUCUUAAAAAAAAAAGAAGAAGAAGAAGAAAGAAAGAAGGAGGAUAGAGGAGGAAGGAGGAGGAGGGAGGAAGGAGGAGGAGGAGGAGACAGAGACGGAGAUGGAGAGGGAGACGGAGACAGAGAAGGAGAAGGAAGAAAUGCCGGGGAGAAAAGACCGAGUGAGGACACAGGGAGAAAGCUUGUCUGCAAGCCAAGGAGAACAGCCUCAGGAGAGACCCAACCUGCUGACACUUUGAUCUUGGACUUCCAGCCCCCAAAACUGUGGGAAAACACAUUUUUUCGUUUAAGCUGCCCAAUCUAUGGUAUUUUUAUCAUAGCAGCCCUAGCAAACGAAUAGACGGAACAGGAAGAGAGAAAAGAAGUAAGGGUUUUAUGUUGAAACCCCCAGCAUCUGUGGCCCUUAGAGUGCUGAUACGUGUGUGUGUGUGUGUGUGUGUGUGUGUGUGUGUGUGUGUGUGUGUGUGUGUGUGUGUGUGUGUGUAUGGCAGCUAUUUUCACUCAGAGGAUGGGGCUUUUGGAUUUAGACAGACUUGGGUUUUAGAUCCAGCAAGUCACAUAACCUUCCUAAGUUUCAGAGUUUUACUUGCAAAAAAGAGGUAAUGAAAUCCACCUUGGGUUUUUGUGAAAGUAAAAUGAAAUGAAAUCCGUAAAAACACUGAGCACACUAACGAACCACUCACGGAUAUUACUAUCUGGAAAGGUGGUGUAUCGUGAGGCUACGUUAUUUUGUUAGUAUUAUUGGAGAUAAAUGAAUUCCUGAGGCAUAAGUGCCUGCAUUCACACCUUGUCAUUUGGUGAGGAACUAGGGGGUCUGGGUGGAUAUGGUACAGAUAUUGAGUCACAUACAGGGCUUUGCACUGACUCUGGGGUAGAACCACCAUAAAACAUAACCCCAGGUAACCAGACUCAGAGAGGCUGCCUUCUAAGAUGCUGGUACCUAGCAACGCACCUGGCACACAGUAGGCAAUUAAAAAGCACUGGCCGGCCUGGCGCAGUGGCUCACGUCUGCAAUCCCAGCACUUUGGGAGGCUGAGGCAGGCGGAUCACGAGGUCAGCAGUUUGAGACCAGCCUGGCCAACAUGUUGAAACCCCAUCUCUACUAAAAAUACAAAAAUUAGCCGGGCGUGGUGGCACAUGCCUGUAGUCCCAGCUACUCAGGAGGCUGAGGCAGGAGAAUCGCUUGAACCCGAGAGGCAGAGGUUGCGGUGAGCCGAGAUUAUCCCACUGUACUCCAGCCUGGGCGACAGAACAAGACCCUGUCUCAAAAUAAUAAUGAUAAUAAAAAUAUAUAAAAUAUAAAAAGCAGGCCAGGCGCAGUGGCUCACACCUGUAAUCCCAGCACUCUGGAAGGCCGAGGAGGGUGGAUCACGAGGUCAGAAGAUUGAGACCAUCCUGGCUAACACAGUGAAACCCUGUCUCUACUAAAAAAUACAAAAAAUUAGUUGGACGUGGUGGCGGGUGCCUGUAGUCCUAGCUACUCGGGAGGCUGAGGCAGGAGAAUGGCAUGAACCCGGGAGGCAGAGCUUGCAGUGAGCUGAGAGAUUGUGCCACUGCACUCCAGCCUGGGCGACAGAGUGAGACUCUGUCUCAAAAAAAAAAAAAAAAAAGGCAUUGGCCAAUGAGUGCAGGAAGGAAGAGCACUCACUGAGUACUGAACAUCUAUCAGCAUCUGUUAAUGGGUCUGUUAGUUAACCCUUUCAGGGUUGUAAGUAAUAGCAACCAUUCAAACCAGCCUAAGCCAGGGAAUUUAAAUACAUUUAAAAUUCUUUUAAAUGUAAGGAGAAUCUGUUGUCUUGAAGACUGACAAGGCCAGUGUGUGCUUCAGGUAUGGCUGGAUCCAGGGACAGUGGGAUGUAUAUGGUGAUCUUCUCCCCGUUUUUUCUCCUGUGCUAGCUUUAUAUCCAGGCAGGUGCCCUUCAUAUGGUGGUCUUGGCAGCCCCUCCUGACUCCUACCUUCUAUACACCCAGAAAUUCCAGAGCAAAGGGAAUCUCUUUUUCAAACAGUGCCAGCCGGAGGCUUGGACUGACUCUGAGCCACACAGCCAGAGUCACAAGAUCAUCUUUAUCCAAUCACUCCAGCUCCAGGCCCUGGGAGUAGGGGAGAGAUAAUUUCUGAAACGAGAAACAGGAAUCCUUUCCCAGCAGAAGGGCGAGACUGGUUGCCAGGCAGGCAGACCACACUGCCCACCGGACUAAGUAUCUAUUUCAUUUAUUUAUGUAUUAUUAUUAUUAUUUUUUGAGACAGAGUCUCCCUCUGUCACCAGGGCUGGAGUUCAGAGGCGCAAUCUUGGCACACUGCAACCUCUGCCUCCCAGGUUCAAUAGAUUCUUGUGCCUCAGCCUCCCGAGUAGCUGGGAUUACAGGCGCCUGCCACCACACUUGGCUAAUUUUUGUAUUUUUAGUAGAGACAGGGUUUCACCAUGUUGGCCAGGCUGGUCUCAAACUCCUGACCUCAAGUAAUCCACCUACCUCGGCCUCCCAAAGUGCUGGGAUUACAGGCAUGAGCCACUGUGCCCAGACUGGACUAAGUAUCUGGAUAGAAGUCAGGUAAUUCAUGGGUGACCAGGUAAGACACAGAAGCAUGCCACCUGGUGAGUACAUGGGGAUGGGGAACCAGAUCUGUGCUGGGUCCAGGCAGCACCAGUGCCAUUGGGGAUUUUAAGGAGGCUGGGAUCUGCACCCCUGGCCAAGAGGUCAUCCAGUAGAUUAAUUGCAAAAAUGCUCCUGAUUCUCCAUCUGUCCCUGAAUCCUCACCCUGUGUGGAGUGGCUUUGCGAUAUCUCCUAGCAGAGCCUGUUUCCCUUCCCCUAGAAUCAGGGCUGGCCUUGUCAUUUGGAUGGACAGCAGAUUGUGGCAGAAGGCACGGUGUACCAGCUCUGAGCCUCAGCCUCAAGCCAUCUUCUGUGCCUUUGGUUGUUCACCUUCUUUGACCCCCAGUCCCCUCAUGAAAAAAAUCCUGGCUAUUUG
rnacentral:lncRNA from 1 species